UUAUUGAUUCAUCUUAGCUAUUGGACUGAUGAUUGCAUGUCACCACCAUUGCUGCGUUGUUGUUGUUGUUGUUUUUGUUGUUGUCGAUGUUC